rnacentral:miRNA from 1 species
GGGCGUCGGCGGGUGCGGUGCUGCUCGCCGCCCAACUCUGACUCUGACGUCUUGGUUCCCGCAG